rnacentral:rRNA from 1 species
UACGUAGGGGGCGAGCGUUGUCCGGAUUUAUUGGGCGUAAAGAGCUCGUAGGCGGUUUGGUAAGUUGGAUGUGAAAUCUCCAGGCUCAACUUGGAGGGGUCAUUCGAUACUGCCAUGACUAGAGUUCGGUAGGGGAGUGUGGAAUUCCUGGUGGAGCGGUGAAAUGCGCAGAUAUCAGGAGGAACACCCGUAGCGAAGGCGGCACUCUGGGCCGGAACUGACGCUGAGGAGCGAAAAGCGUGGGGGAGCGAACAGG